rnacentral:rRNA from 1 species
AUGGGUGAUCUGGGCGUCCGGGUUGUGGGCAGAGGCUGCGCUGCGCCGAUGGAGCCGCGCAAGGAGAUGGCGCCGCCAUCGCUGGAGCAGCAGCAGCAGCAGCCUCCCCUGUUCAUGGAUUUCUCCCGUCGAGAUGGAGUCGCAGAUGGCGGCAACGGGCGGAAGCGGCCGCGCGAGACCGUGGCGCCGCCGGCACGGCUCUUCUCCCUGCAGGCGCCGCAGGGUUCUCCGGGGCACAAGGUGAUACACCUGGCGCAGCUGCACCGGCGGCCGCCGGCGACGGGCCUGCGGCUCGACUUCGACGAGGGAGGCUCGGAGCACGCGGCGUGCACGUCCUCGACGUCGCCCCUUAUCCCCGGCGAGCUCGCCGCCCAGUGCGGGCGGUACAGUAACGAGAUCGACCGGCUGCUCCAGGAACACGCGGAGCGACUCCGGCUUGCGCUGGCUGACACGAGGCGUCGGCAGAACCGCUCGCUGCUGGGCGCCGCAGAGGCGCUGGCCGCACGGCGGGUCAGGGAGAUGGAGGCGGAGACCUUCAAGGCGGCGCGGCGCGGCGUCGAGCUGGAGGAGCGGCUGGCCCGGCUGAGGGCGGAGGCGGCGUCGUGGCAAGCCAAGGCAAUGUCCGACCAGUCCACGGCGGCCGCGCUCCACGCGCAGUUGCAGCAGGCGGCGGCCACAGCGCAGGCGAGGAGCGGCAAGGCCGCCUUGGACGACGACGGCGCGGCGGACGACGCCGAGUCCGGCUUCAUCGACCCUGACAGGGUGGUGGAGGUGGCGGCCCCGCCACCGGCCAGGCCGUGCCGCGGGUGCCGGCUCCGGCCGGCCACCACCGUGCUGCUCCCGUGCAGGCACCUCUGCGUGUGCGACGCGUGCGACCCCGGCGCCUCGGCCUCCCUCGCCGCCGCCGCGGCCUGCCCCACGUGCCGCUGCCCCGUCACCGGCACCGUGCAGGUCUUCUUCGCGUGA